rnacentral:rRNA from 1 species
UACGGAGGGGGCUAGCGUUGUUCGGAAUUACUGGGCGUAAAGCGCGCGUAGGCGGACCUGCAAGUCGGGGGUGAAAGCCCGAGGCUCAACCUCGGAACUGCCUUCGAUACUGCGGGUCUCGAGUCCGGGAGAGGUGAGUGGAAUUCCUAGUGUAGAGGUGAAAUUCGUAGAUAUUAGGAAGAACACCAGUGGCGAAGGCGGCUCACUGGCCCGGUACUGACGCUGAGGCGCGAAAGCGUGGGGAGCAAAGCAG